rnacentral:rRNA from 1 species
UUGCUCCUCUGACGUUAGCGGCGGACGGGUGAGUAACACGCUGGAUAACCUACCUAUAAGACUGGGAUAACUUCGGGAAACCGGAGCUAAUACCGGAUAANAUGUUGAACCGCAUGGUUCAACAGUGAAAGACGGUCUUGCUGUCACUUAUAGAUGGAUCCGCGCCGCAUUAGCUAGUUGGUAAGGUAACGGCUUACCAAGGCAACGAUGCGUAGCCGACCUGAGAGGGUGAUCGGCCACACUGGAACUGAGACACGGUCCAGACUCCUACGGGAGGCAGCAGUAGGGAAUCUUCCGCAAUGGGCGAAAGCCUGACGGAGCAACGCCGCGUGAGUGAUGAAGGUCUUCGGAUCGUAAAACUCUGUUAUUAGGGAAGAACAAAUGUGUAAGUAACUAUGCACGUCUUGACGGUACCUAAUCAGAAAGCCACGGCUAACUACGUGCCAGCAGCCGCGGUAAUACGUAGGUGGCAAGCGUUAUCCGGAAUUAUUGGGCGUAAAGCGCGCGUAGGCGGUUUUUUAAGUCUGAUGUGAAAGCCCACGGCUCAACCGUGGAGGGUCAUUGGAAACUGGAAAACUUGAGUGCAGAAGAGGAAAGUGGAAUUCCAUGUGUAGCGGUGAAAUGCGCAGAGAUAUGGAGGAACACCAGUGGCGAAGGCGACUUUCUGGUCUGUAACUGACGCUGAUGUGCGAAAGCGUGGGGAUCAAACAGGAUUAGAUACCCUGGUAGUCCACGCCGUAAACGAUGAGUGCUAAGUGUUAGGGGGUUUCCGCCCCUUAGUGCUGCAGCUAACGCAUUAAGCACUCCGCCUGGGGAGUACGACCGCAAGGUUGAAACUCAAAGGAAUUGACGGGGACCCGCACAAGCGGUGGAGCAUGUGGUUUAAUUCGAAGCAACGCGAAGAACCUUACCAAAUCUUGACAUCCUCUGACCCCUCUAGAGAUAGAGUUUUCCCCUUCGGGGGACAGAGUGACAGGUGGUGCAUGGUUGUCGUCAGCUCGUGUCGUGAGAUGUUGGGUUAAGUCCCGCAACGAGCGCAACCCUUAAGCUUAGUUGCCAUCAUUAAGUUGGGCACUCUAAGUUGACUGCCGGUGACAAACCGGAGGAAGGUGGGGAUGACGUCAAAUCAUCAUGCCCCUUAUGAUUUGGGCUACACACGUGCUACAAUGGACAAUACAAAGGGUGGCGAAACCGCGAGGUCAAGCAAAUCCCAUAAAGUUGUUCUCAGUUCGGAUUGUAGUCUGCAACUCGACUACAUGAAGCUGGAAUCGCUAGUAAUCGUGGAUCAGCAUGCCACGGUGAAUACGUUCCCGGGUCUUGUACACACCGCCCGUCACACCACGAGAGUUUGUAACACCCGAAGCCGGUGGAGUAA